UCGACAGCGUAGCCAGCCAGCCUGUGAGGCCUGGAGGACGGCAGGGCCUGUGGGAAAUCUUGGCCUGAGGAGACCCUUAGGCAAGACGGGUCGGCGGGCCUGAGGCUGGGUGAGGCUGCUGAGGCCCACGGGAUGCCCAGACCGCCCCCUGCCGGUCCGCGGGCCACUGCAGGGCAGUGCUGCACAGGCUGCGUCGCCCUCUGCUGGUAGCACAGGGUUAAAGGUGGAGUCCUGGGGGGCUGAUGAGGUUGUAGAGCAGAGAUGACGCAGCCGGAUUGCUGAGGCCCAGGGAAGGGGGCGGGGACACGACGAGUCCUCUCUGUGGGAUCUGAGGUUGGAGAAGGGGAGGAGCGCCACAGAAUCCCUGAAAUACCACACUAGGCUUCUGCUCUAACCUCAUUCUUCCCUCACCACGUCCAGGAUGCGCUGACGCCAAACACCUACCAAGUGAUGGCAUCCAAGGAUGACAUAAGCCGCAGUUUGUCAUCACCGGAGUUUAGUAUCCUCCAGGGGAAGCGUGAGCAAAUGGGCCAAAAUUUCAACGAUUAUACUGAACAGGAAUGGAGAAAAUGGAUAUCCUUGUCUCAUUACUGAUAUCUUUGUCUCGUUUUAUCAUCAAGCAUUCAAAGCAGUAACAAACUCUGCAUUGGGUGGACAGUGUUUAUAAGUAAUGUCAUAGGAGGAGGUGGCUAGGAGGAUGCUGAAGUUGGCUUCUGCUGCAGCAUUCAUCUGCAACCUAGUGGAGGAAGAAUGGGCCAUGAUCUCACACACGUGGUUGUGAGGAGGGAGAAAAAUAUGCUUUACUGUACCCCACUGCUUAUGUCAACCCUACCUUAUAGGAGGCAGGAAAGCUUGGAAAACCCAGAGCAAUGCAGGGCCAAAAGGUUGGCCAGGACAGUGAUGAGCAAUGUCAAGCCUGGUGCUCCUGCAGUCUCUAGGUUGGGUUCCAGACCCCACCGACUGCAGGGAAUAGGGCGCUGGGCAGAACUUGACCUGCAUAAACACUGGGACAGGACAGCAGGAAGAUUUGAGACCUUAGAACUUGCUGAACUUGCUCCCCUGAGGCCUGUGGAUGCUGCCACUCUCUAAGAUAUUCUUAUUAACAAUCCUCUUGGGUUGCAAGUGGUGAUCCAGAUCUUUAAUUCCAGCACUCAGGAGGCAGAGGCAGGUGGAUGUCUGUGAGAUCCAGUCCAGCCUGGUCUACAAGGUGAGUUCCACAUCAGCUGGGGCUACAAGGAGACCAAUUUUUUAAAAAAUUCCGUUGGGUUGUGGUGGCACAUACCUUUAAUGCCAGCCCUUGGGAGGCAGAGAAUGAGGAGCUCUGUGAGAUCAAGGCAAGCCUGGUCUACAUAGUGAUGAAACUGUGACAGUCACCCUGUAGAGACCUGAAAAGAAGCUGGAAAAUCCUUUCCUUCACCAUGCAAAUGAGUAACACUGAAAACAUUCUUCACCCUUUCCCUGUGAUCUCCAAGAUUAGCAGUUGAAUACCUGGAGCUUUACUAACAACUUUGAUUUUCAAGGUGACCAGCCAGGAAUUCUGUGGUUGCCUCAGGAAAUGGAUCAUGAAGUCUGCCAAGCCAGGAGCUCAAUGUAUCCUGCACCAUACUGUUCUCAGCACUAGAGAACAGUCUUCCAAUUUGUGAACUCAAAAAUCUCUUGUCUUCCAGAAAUCAAUGUUAGAGGUGCUUUCAGGUAAAGCAUAAAAAAAAUUCCUUAAAAAAAUGCACAGGAAGGGAAUAUGCAGAAAUUUUAGGAUACAAUGGAAAAGUCAAAUCCAGGAACUAUGGCUAUAGGAGAAAGAAGGCCAGGACAAUGGCACAGAUAAGGUUUUGAAUAAAAUGAUGGAAGAAAAUUUCAAAAACCUAGAGAAAAACGUUCUCAUCUAAAUACAAGAAGCCAACAGAACACCAAAGAGGCAGAACCAGAAAAGAAGCUUUCCAUGACAUAUUAUAAACACCAAAAACAGAGACUAAAUGAAGGUACAGAAAGCUACAAGGUGAGAAAGGCGGGGUUGCAUAUAAAGGAAGACCCCUUAGAUUGCAUCAGAUUAUUCAGCAGAAACUUUUAAAGAGGAAGUAGUGCACCACUGCCAAUUUCGACUGUUUAACUCCACAAAACUUUCUAGUACAAUUGAAGAAGAAAAACAGUUUCCAUAAUACAGACUUAAAGAAUACAUGACCACUAAUCCAGCUCCACAGAGAACACUAGAAGAUGGCUAGAAACAUAAGAAAAGGGAUAAACACAUCCAGAUGGCACAGGGAAAAACUUAAUUUCAUAAAGUGUUUUAAAAAAAAAAAAGGCCUAAGAAAACAACAUGAAAUCAGUAAGAGGAAUUAAGACAAAUUUUAAAUAACAGAAUAUUAAUGGUCACAAUUCCCCUAAUCAAAAGACACAGAGUAUUAGGGUUUCAAACAGCAGCAGCUCCCCCUGCUCCCCAAGAGGGUCCUAUGGACUUUGGAUUUUUGAAGCCUGAAAAAGGUAACUGAGCUGAUAAGCACCUUGGCCUUUGAAGUC